rnacentral:rRNA from 1 species
GACGAACGCUGGCGGCGUGCUUAACACAUGCAAGUCGAACGGAAAGGCCCUGCUUUUGUGGGGUGCUCGAGUGGCGAACGGGUGAGUAACACGUGAGUAACCUGCCCUUGACUUUGGGAUAACUUCAGGAAACUGGGGCUAAUACCGGAUAGGAGCUCCUGCUGCAUGGUGGGGGUUGGAAAGUUUCGGCGGUUGGGGAUGGACUCGCGGCUUAUCAGCUUGUUGGUGGGGUAGUGGCUUACCAAGGCUUUGACGGGUAGCCGGCCUGAGAGGGUGACCGGCCCCACUUGGACUCAGAUAACGCCCCAGUUUCUAACGGAGGCAGGAGUGGGGAAAGAUGGAUCACGGGGGGAAAGCUUAUGGAGCAACGCAGGGUUAGGGCUGACUGCCUUAGGGUUGGAAACCGGUUUACGCUGUGACGAAGCGUGAGUGACGGUAAUGGGUAAAGAAGCACCGGCUAACUACGUG